rnacentral:rRNA from 1 species
UCCGUUUGAUCCUGGCGGAGGUUACUGCUAUCGAGGUUCGACUAAGCCAUGCGAGUCGAAUGUAGCAAUACAUGGCGUACUGCUCAGUAGCACGUGGACAACCUACCCUUAGGUCGGGGAUAAACCCGGGAAACUGGGUAUAAUACCCGAUAGUCCUCGGAUGCUGGAAUGCACCGAGGUCUAAAGCUCCGGCGCCUAAGGAUGGGUCUGCGGCCUAUCAGGUAGUAGUGGGUGUAGCGUACCUACUAGCCUACGACGGGUACGGGUUGUGAGAGCAAGAGCCCGGAGAUGGAUUCUGAGACACGAAUCCAGGCCCUACGGGGUGCAGCAGGCGCGAAAACUUUACAAUGCUGGAAACAGCGAUAAGGGGACCUCGAGUGCCAGGUUACAAAUCUGGCUGUCGUGAUGCCUAAAAAGCAUUGCAUAGCAAGGGCCGGGCAAGACCGGUGCCAGCCGCCGCGGUAACACCGGCGGCUCGAGUGGUAACCGCUAUUAUUGGGUCUAAAGGGUCUGUAGCCGGCCGGAUAAGUCUUUUGGGAAAUCUGGCAGCUUAACUGUCAGGCUUUCAGAGGAUACUGUCUGGCUCGAGGCCGGGAGAGGUGAGAGGUACUUCAGGGGUAGGGGUGAAAUCUUGUAAUCCUUGAAGGACCACCAGUGGCGAAGGCGUCUCACCAGAACGGACCUGACGGCAAGGGAC